rnacentral:rRNA from 1 species
AUUGAACGCUGGCGGCAGGCCUAACACAUGCAAGUCGAGCGCGAAAAUUCCUUCGGGGAUGAGUAGAGCGGCGGACGGGUGAGUAAUGCGCAGAAAUCUGCCCAGUAGUGGGGGACAACCUGGUGAAAACCAGGCUAAUACCGCAUACGCCCUACGGGGAAAGGCAGGGGAUCUUCGGACCUUGCGCUAUUGGAUGAGUCUGCGUCGGAUUAGCUUGUUGGUGAGGUAAUGGCUCACCAAGGCGACGAUCCGUAGCUGGUCUGAGAGGAUGAUCAGCCACACUGGGACUGAGACACGGCCCAGACUCCUACGGGAGGCAGCAGUGGGGAAUAUUGGACAAUGGGCGAAAGCCUGAUCCAGCCAUGCCGCGUGUGUGAAGAAGGCUCUAGGGUUGUAAAGCACUUUCAGUGGGGAAGAAAGCUUGUUAGCUAAUAACUGACGAGUGUGACAUUACCCACAGAAGAAGCACCGGCUAACU